UCCGGACCUUACUGUUAGACAGGUGAGAAAGAAACGUAAAGAGAGCGGCGUAGCGAGAGACAGAGACCACGCCAACAGGAGGAACAUGAAGACGCAGCUGAAGAAAGACCACAGACAGGUGCGCACAGACAGGUGCGCACAGACAGGUGGAGAACGACAGAGAGAAGAACAGAAGAAACCAGCCGAGAGCAAACAGCCAGAAAAA